UACGAAGGGUGCAAGCGUUGUUCGGAUUUAUUGGGCGUAAAGCGCACGUAGGCGGCUUUGCAAGUCGGCUGUGAAAUCCCUCGGCUUAACCAAGGAAGUGCAUCCGAAACUGCAGAGCUUGAGUACUUAAGAGGAUCGCGGAAUUCCCGGUGUAGAGGUGAAAUUCGUAGAUAUCGGGAGGAACACCAGUGGCGAAGGCGGCGAUCUGGGAAGAUACUGACGCUGAGGUGCGAAAGCGUGGGGAGCAAACAGG
rnacentral:rRNA from 1 species